GGAUCUGAAGCUGCUGAUACUCGUUGACGCAUGCAACUAACUUCUGAGCUCGUUGCUCAGUCCGCUGUCGAUCCUCGACAGCCUGCCUUUGCACCUCCAUUAGUCGAGCCUCGUAGGCAGAAUGGAUGUCAGCCCUAGACGAGUGUGAGGAUAAGGGGGCAGUGAUCCCAUAUCCUAGACCUCUAACAUAACAGGAUCUCGUACCAAGCACCUGAUCAUAGAUCUCAUCAUCUGUGGGUGCGAUCGAACCCUCAGGGAU
rnacentral:lncRNA from 1 species